rnacentral:lncRNA from 1 species
UACAUUUCUACUUACCUGCCACCUUUCUACUUUUAUAGUCACUGACAUCUUCUGUAGCUUUGGGCCUUGUGGUGCAUUCACUGAAGUCAGUAAUUGCCCACUGGGAACUAUUUUUAAUAGUUCUCAUGCCCCCGUUUUGUGGUUUACUUUUCAGAGCCUUCGGCACCGGCGGAGGCACGGGAUCGCGGCAAGGGGAUCGCUUAGCUAGCUAGCGAGGAGCGGUACUUUGCCUAGGUGGUUUACUCUUUCUUUUGUAGUGGAGAGAGAGUGAGAGAUUUUGUAUCCAUGUAUAGAGACCACCUAUGUACUUACUUUAUGUUUUAGUUAGUGGAUUUACAGCUUUAACUUUAUCCCUUGUUGUAGCAAUUAGACAUUUACUAUGCUCUGAUACUCCUAGAUGUCUCGUAUUAUUGCUUUUAUUAUUGUUGCUUUUAGACGCCUUAUAUGUUGUAGACAUAUGGCGGGUCUGGGCACGCGCCGGGCGGGCUUCCGCUGGGUCCCGGGGCGUGACACCGGUCCCAAGCACACGAGAAGAGGCUGCAUUCCCCAUGUUCACCGAUCCUUCACAUGAGUCCUGAUAGGUGGAAAACCAAGAGCGGUCAGAGCAAGCAUGAAUGUUUGCUCCAGCAUCUAUCCACCAAUCAGAAGAACUAUAGGCAAGGUUAACUUCAGCUAAACUAGAUCCUAACCUGAUAGUGGAGUCUGAAGUGUCAGGCCCAGCAGUCAACAUAUUCAUUUGGCGCUCAGGUGGACCGCCCAACCCGUCCCGGCUCAGCUCAUACUCGUGCCGUGCGUGUGUUUAGCCGGGAGCUUCACUCUCAUAUUCUCCAAAGUAAUUAAGUUGAGAGCGAGAGAGUAUAUAAAGUGAAGUAGAGUGUCUUUACUUUCCAAUGUGGGACUAAACUCCACAUAUGGAAAGAAAGGCACGAGCUCUCAGGCAAGACACAUAGAGAGUUGGGCUGCCCAAGAAGCCCAUGGGCUAAAAUCAAGUUUUAAAUCACUGUUUUAAACAAUUAAAACUAACAUUAUCAUCCUUGCACUUUUUGUCCUUUUUCCCCUCAUUUUGUGUAACCGAUUGCCGAAGAAAUUUGUUAGAAUGAGAUCGAAGGAAUUAGAAUCUCACACAAAUAGGAUUUGAACAAACGAAUACGUACAUAUCAUGUCUAGCAAUUAAGUCUCCUCAAACCACAUCCUACAAAGCCUCAUAAUAAACUUUUCUCAUUCCGCUGAUCCCACUUCCACUCAGGCAUGUUUAGGAUGAUUUGAUUCACUAUGGAUUAUUCUCUUUUCUCCAAUUUUGGAAAGCCCACUUCUGUCGUAGUGGCGGCGAGCAGUUGAGGCCACAGAUGUUGUUCUUGUUCGGAUUGCCGGCUAGAGUUGCAGGUGCAAAUCCACCAUGCCCGCCCAAAUCCCUUCCCCUCACUUUCACAAAAACAAACAAAAACAGUUAGUAAUUAACAGAUCAUUAUUAAGAAAAGCAAAAAUUAAUGCAUGCCAUAGUAAAGAACACAUGUCUAUACCUGCUUCUGCCUCCCGCACUUGUGUAGCACAUAUAGUGAUCACGAGAAUGAUCACCAACACUAUCCGAGAGGGAAAGAGCGGCGAAGAAGAAGAGGAGAUGCGUGUAUCCUUUCGAUUCUCCAUUAGAUUAGCUCUUUUGAUGCACGAGUUGGAUCGACAAUGGCACUUUAUAUAUACAUGCAUGAAAAUAAUGGAACCAAGUACUUGACAUGAACAUAAAAAAAGCAUUGUGAUCACCUAACACAGUGGCUUGAUGGCCAAGCUUCUGACUGCGAUUUUUCUCUCUCGCACUAAUUUAAUUAUAUUAGUUUGAUGUUUGAAGCUUCCCGGUAGAAGUUGGACCUCUUUCGAGCAGUUAAAAACAAUUUAUUAAUACUAUCCCUAAUAAAGAUGUGAACUAUCUCGUUGUAUAUGAAAUAAUUAAAGUAGAGGCAAUUGCCUAUAUACCCCUGUAAAGUUUUCGGUUUUCUUAUUUACCCCUCUUAGAAGGCUAAUAUUGAAAAUACCCUUCUUAUGUUCCAAGUCUUUCUAAUAUACCCCCGGAGUUAAGUUCCGUCAGUUAGUUGCUGUUAUCUCUGAAAAAUUACCAUUUUGCCCAUUCCAAUAUACCCUCGUACCGUAACUCACUUAUCUUAUAUACCCUUCAUAUAGCAAAUAUUUUUUUUAUUUGCCUUUCAAAUAUCAAUUAAUUAAUUAAGCACGUUGGGAGCAAGCAGAUGAACGGAUGAGAUCGAUCGCAGCUAAACAAAUCUUAGUGGCUGAAGGCAUAGUUAGUUAAUUCGGAUUCGGCAAAAAUUCGGUACAGAUAUAAUUCGGAUAAAAUUCGUCUUUUAAUUUUUAAAUUCGUUGAAAAACACACCUAUAAAAUAGAUUGGACAAUUAUUCGGAUACGUAAUAUAUACGGGUAUUAUACGUUCACCAAUUAAAAAUUCCGAAUCAAAAAUUCGGCUAUAUAAUAAAUAUAUAAUAAUUAAUAUACUAUAUAUAUUAUUAUUAUAAUUUUUAUAUAUAGAUUAAAGGGUCCGGCUACUAUACUAUUAUGAGUACGAUCGCCCUCGUACUCAUAAGUUGUUUUCGAUGAUAGAGCUUCCGAAUCGACGAUCCACACCGUUAAACGUUAUUUACAGCAUUUAAAACUUCUAGAAAUUAAAUUUUGUAAUUUUUCGACAACAUUUACCUUACGAUCAAGAGGUCACAAAUUUGAUAAUUUUUAACGGCCGGUAUGAGAUACUUGCUAGUUUAACGGUGUAAAAUAAUCCGAAUUUGUUGAAUUUUUAAUAGAAAAUUCUAUUCACUACAUAGAUAAAGAUCAAUAACUCCGAUCUUGAACUGAAGGAUCCGAUCAUCCUUUUUUAGGACAUCGUUCGAUUUUGACCGUUCAUUUUAUAUAUGCCCACUUGAUGGAUUUUAUUAUGAUUUCGAAAAUUUACGAAAUUUAUUUUCUAGAAGUUUCAAAUACUCUAGAUCAUAUUUAACGGAGUGGAUCGUCGAUUUAGAAGCUCCAUCAUUGAAAACAACUUAUGAGUACGAGGGCUAUCAGUACUCAUAAUAGUAUAGUAGCCGCGGCCUCUAUUAAUCUAUAUUUAAAAAUUAUAAUAAUCAUAUAUUUUAAGUAUAUUAAUUGUUAUAUAUUUAUUAUAUAUUCGAAUUUUUGAUUACGGAAUUAUAAAUUAAAUAUGGUGAACGUAUAAUACCCGUAUAUAUUACGUAUCCGAAUAAUUGUCCAAUCUAUUUUAUAGGUGUGUUUUUCAACGAAUUUAAAAAUUAAAAGACGAAUUUUAUCCGAAUUAUAUCUGUACCGAAUUUUUGCCGAAUCCGAAUUAACUAACUAUGCCUUCAGCCACUAAGAUUUGUUUAGCUGCGAUCGAUCUCAUCCGUUCAUCUGCUUGCUCCCAACGUGCUUAAUUAAUUAAUUGAUAUUUGAAAGGCAAAUAAAAAAAAUAUUUGCUAUAUGAAGGGUAUAUAAGAUAAGUGAGUUACGGUACGAGGGUAUAUUGGAAUGGGCAAAAUGGUAAUUUUUCAGAGAUAACAGCAACUAACUGACGGAACUUAACUCCGGGGGUAUAUUAGAAAGACUUGGAACAUAAGAAGGGUAUUUUCAAUAUUAGCCUUCUAAGAGGGGUAAAUAAGAAAACCGAAAACUUUACAGGGGUAUAUAGGCAAUUGCCUCUACUUUAAUUAUUUCAUAUACAACGAGAUAGUUCACAUCUUUAUUAGGGAUAGUAUUAAUAAAUUGUUUUUAACUGCUCGAAAGAGGUCCAACUUCUACCGGGAAGCUUCAAACAUCAAACUAAUAUAAUUAAAUUAGUGCGAGAGAGAAAAAUCGCAGUCAGAAGCUUGGCCAUCAAGCCACUGUGUUAGGUGAUCACAAUGCUUUUUUUAUGUUCAUGUCAAGUACUUGGUUCCAUUAUUUUCAUGCAUGUAUAUAUAAAGUGCCAUUGUCGAUCCAACUCGUGCAUCAAAAGAGCUAAUCUAAUGGAGAAUCGAAAGGAUACACGCAUCUCCUCUUCUUCUUCGCCGCUCUNUAUAUAUAUAUAUAUAUAUAUAUAUAUAUAUAUAUAUAUAUAUAUAUAUAUAUAUAUAUAUAUAUAAUGAGAGGGAGGUCCACUCAUCCGGUCCACGAUGCUAUACUGGCCUCGUGGACCGCGCACACCGAGUGCUCCCCGAUGAGCUCCGCCCUCUCUUCGUCUCCACCGGCUCCGCCGUCCCAUCCCCCCGCUCCUCCGACAUGCCCCAGCUUAACUUCAUGCCCCCCGCCUCCCUCUCCUCCUCCUCCUUGGUCCUGUCUGCCGGCAUGCUCUUGCUUCCGGCGCCGGCCAAGGCGGUGGAGGAGACGACGACGACGACGAGAGCGGCGACUCGCGGGCCGUAUUUUUUGUGCGAAUGAGGCGAGGCUUCUUGGGGGCGAAGGUGGAGGCGGAGAAGCCGGUGCCGAGGUUGGCGGUGGCAGUGAGCCGCUGGCGCUCGCUGCGGCGGGCGGCGGGCGGCGAGCGGCGGGUUUGAUCGAGAGUAAUGAUGUUAAGUGGGGAGAGAAAGAAAGGAUAAUUUAGGAAAUAGUUUAAUAAGAUAGGGGUAAAAUAGGUAUUUUAAUUAGGUUUUAACUAUGGUAUACAUUUAAUCCAUGUUUAACCCGAGUUAGUUUAAUAGGGGAUAACUGCGGUGGUAUUUUGGAAUAACGGUGAACAUAUGAGUGCAUAUUUUAGAAAGAAAAAAAAAGUAGGAAUAAAUCGGAUAUAUUCAAACGCAUGAAGGGUAUAUUGGCAAUUAUCCCAAUAAAGUAAAUUAAUCUAACAAAUCAAAGAGAAGUUUCAUGGAAAAAAAAGCUAAAGUUGACUGCUUGUAUAUAGAUAUGAUAUAUUAGUAGAUGGUUGGUAGGAUGAAGUUUCUUUGACCGAUUGGGAGUGGAAAGUACUACUGAAGUAUAUCUGUUAAGAAAGAUUAUCAAAUACCUUCGUAAUAGAAAAAUAUAUUUUAUGAGUUCUAACCCACAUAGAAGAGGUAAUUAACCAGCGGGAAUGGCUCCCAAGGAAUUGGCCCAAGCUGUAGUGUAUAUGGAAUAUCAGGACAUGUUUAGUUAAUAAUUAGAUUGGAAACAAAAAUAAAAUUGAACUAUACUAGAAUGAAAAAUGAAUGAGAAAUCAUGGCAAAAAAUAUUUGGUUUAUCAGGCCUGAGCCUAUUGGAUUUUAUUGAAUUUUUAUGAUUUAAAACUUGUUAAGGCCUCUUGGGAGCCCAAUAAUUAUUAAUGGCUUUGCUUGAGAGCCCAACUAAAAUUUUCAUGUGUGACUUUAGUCCUACAUUGGAAACUAAAAGGAUGUUGAUGGUAUUUAUAUAUUUCUUUAUUCUCAAGCCAGUUGCUUUAGGAGAAAAUGAAAGUUAUGCUCUCAUUUAAACGCACGACACGAGCACGAGCUGGGCAGGUGGCGGCGUGCGCAGUCCAUACACUCGAUUUAUUUUAUUUUUUAUUUUUAUUUUUUCGUUAUCUUUAUCCUAAUCUGUAUCCGUAUAAUAUUAGACUUAUCUUGUUCUAUAUGGAUUUGACGCAAUGAAGCAAGAUUUUCGCCUUGGAUAUAUAUAUAUAUAUAUAUAUAUAUAUAUAUAUAUAUAUAUAUUGGAGGAGGUUGCGUGAGUUCGUGAAGAACCCGAGCAUAUCUAAACCCUAUCUUGUCUUACCCUACUUUCUCACAAUUAAUCUUUUCCUCUGUUUUUCACCGAAUUCUCUUUGCUGGAUAUGAAAGUUGUUGGGUUCAUCUUGUACCACCUUGAAAGCGUGCCGACGGGGUGAAACAUGGUCGUUGUAUCGCUGGAAGUAGUUGCCGGAAAGCCUCGCACGUGGAGGGGCAAUUUCACUUCUAGGACAGUGCUCCGCACGCCUCGAUCCACAAGCCUUAUCUAAAUCUUUUCUUUACAGUAUUUGUUACUUAACUCGAAAUAUUUCUAAAUCUGAAAUUAAACUUUCGAAUUGUUUUUAAAGAAUAUUGUAAUAAAAGAUCAGAAAGAUUUUCCAACAGAGCAUUUAUGAUAAUACCAAUUAAUAGCUGCUCUUAAGCAUGAAGCUCGGUAUAGCUGUCGAUUCUACUACUAUUAUAUAAAUAAGCGAAAACACAUCCUUUCGGCCUGUAUAAGUGCGUCUCUAAUCGGCAAGAAAAAAAAGUAGCCUUUUGUAUUGAAAUGUGAAUCAGAAUGAAUAAUUGACAUACAUGAGAUUUUGUGAGGGUUUUGGUUAAGGAAGAGAAGAGUAAUGAAGGGAGAGGAGGCGAGAGGUGUUUUCUAAGAGUGGCUUUGACGUGACUGAGUUACUCUGGGAAUAGAUCAAUCAGAUUACAAAGCCGGAUUUGACUAUAAAUAGAUUCGAUUAUUUUCAUUCUGGAGUGAAAUGAGAAUCCGAAUCUGAUUCUUAUAAAACAAACAAAAACUAUUAGAUUAAGUAAUACUAUUCUGAUUUUUGAGUCUAAAAUAAGUGAACCAAACAAUCCCACAAUAUAUUCUUUUGAAGGUCACCAGGUCGUACCCAAUGUGGCUUUAUGGUAUUAAAAUAAUAAGGGUAAUUUUCAUACAUACGCUUGCUCCAACCUUAAUAGAUACUCCUUUACGUGUGAAAAUAAAAAAUAGGGAUAAUUGCCUAUAUACUCCUGAAAACUGUUGAAAUAUCUUAUUUACCCUUACUUUUUUUGUUUCAAAUAUAUCUCUCAUAUAUUUCUCUAUUAUUCAAAAAUAUCCCUGUUGUUAGUGUUCGUUAGUCAUCUCAGGGUUAAACCUUAAUUAGUUAAAUUUCUACCAUAGUUAAAAAAAAAUGAAAAUACCUAUUGUGCCCCUAACUUAAGAGCAAAUAAGAAAAAUUUGUGACAGCAAAAAGUCAAAAUACUUCUUUUACCCCAAACUUAAGGGCAAAUAAAAAAAGUUGGUGACGGUAAAAGGGUAUAUUUGAAAGAUCAAAAUGGUAAUUUUAUAGAGAUAAUGAUUGUUCUUAACAAUUCACUAACAGAAUUUAACUGUAGAGAUAUAUUUGAAAGAUUUUGAAAUUUUAAAAGAGUAUUUUUUUAAUAUUAACGUUCCAAGAAGGGUAAAUAAGAAAGUUGAAAACUUUUCAGGAGUAUAUAACCAAUUGCCUCUAAAAAAUGCUUCGUUGUCACCUAUUUGUUUUCGAUGAUGGAGCCUCUAAAUUGACGAUCGACACUAUUGAACAUGAUCUAUACCACUUGAAAUAUCUAGAAACCAAAUUUCAAAUCUUUCCAACAUUAUUGGCCUAAUGAUCAAAGGGUUUCAAAAUAUGUAAUUUUGAAGGAUAUCCGUAAUAUUUUAUAACUUUUGAGGGGCACGUUUAAAUUGCCCUAUAUAACAAAGUAUAGAAUCUGUGCACUAUUGGCUAGCUAAUGAUGUAGAAACCGAGAUUUUAAUUAUAAAUUUCAAAAAUGUUGGGUAUUUCUAUACAAUUGGAUUAUUUUUAGUACAACAAAAAUUGCUAUUUCGUCUGACAGUGCUACAAGUCAUGAAAGAAAUUUUCAUGCAAUUUCUUGAGAUAAAGUGAUAUUUGGAGAUAAAAACGGUUGAGAGAUAAAAUUGAUAAAAUAGGUUUCUAUGGAAAAGAGCGAUAUUUUGUGUGCCGAAUUGCAUGAAAUUUUGAUGGGAGUUACUACUAUGCAAAAUACACAUGUUGAUGAGUUUUAAGUAUAAUUGUAAAUAGGAGGGGCUCAAAUGCAAUUUUUAUAAAAUUAAAAAACAGAGUAAUCUACGAAAAAUUUAUCAUUUCAUGUGUGAAAAAUAAAAAAUUUUCGCAACGGAGGACUCAUAUUCGCAGAGGACUGAGAAAGGACUGAAGAGUUUAAAGAGAGAGUAUAGGGACUAACGUGCAAUUGUUACAACUAAAGUUGAAAAUAAAAAGAGAAUAUUAAAACCCCUAAUUUCUUUCUCCCUCUCUCUUCCUCUCCAUUCACCCCCACGGUUGCCACCCCAUCUCCUUCUGCCUCCAAUUGCCCUCCCCGGUCGACAAGGAGACCAAUUCGAACUUUCUCUCUCUUUCUAUCCCUACCUCUCUUUAGAUCUCUAACACUCUCUCGAUUUUCUCCCUCUAUAGGGUUGACCGCAAUCCCCAGCUCCGCCGCUAGCCCCUACCAUUAUGGCGAGUUCCCCCUCAGCGGCAGCGACAACCCUCGGCCCCUCUUGAAGCUCCCCUUGAACUACCCAACUCUCUACAGUAGAUCUACCCUACUUCUACCUGAACUACCAAAUUCGGUGAUCUUGGCUGCUGCUGACCCAUGGGCUAUGGAGAACAGCUACCCUCGGCCUCACUUCAACCUACUCUAGCCAGCCUUGACUACCCUGGAUUCGCUGGAGCUGUCCAAACUGUCACCACUUCCUACUGCCUUGCCAAGAAAACUGUAAUAUCCGAGACGUUGGAAUUGAAUUUGAUUAAAGAAAUUCAAUUUGAAAUUUGAAUUAGAUAUAUAUAUAUAUAUAUAUAUAUAUAUAUAUAUAUAUAUAUAUAUAUAUAUAUAUAUAUAUAUAUAUAUGUGGAGGUAGAGAGAGGAUGGAAUCCGCACGAAUUGACGACCGAUUCAGAUGAAACAAAAUCAUAGAUCUGAUUGUCCGGCAUUGCCAAAGGUGAUGGUGCAGUUCCUUUGCAAAUUUGAUGAGCCAAUCGUCCGAAAUUGCACGUUGUUUGAGAAAAGGCGAAAAUUGGGAAAUCAAUAUUUUUGGAAAAUACCCAAUAUUUUAAUUACUGUUUCGCGUGAAAUUGAACGUGGAGAUACUAUCCCGCUAUUUGCACGGGCUAUGAAGGAUUUGGUCAGAAAAUCUAAGGAUUGAGGGACUUCCCUGCAAUUUUUUCCCAACUUAUACAUUCGAUGAAUUAGGGUUUUCCCCUCUCAUUCUGAAACCCUAGCCUUUCUGUCCCUCACUUGAGCCCUACCCGCGUCCUGCUCACCCUCCUCUUGCACCACACCCUUUUCUGACAGUCGGCGACCGCUGUCCGACCAUCCUAACCCUGGCCAGAUCCCUUUUCUCUUUUCCUGAAUGCCUUUCUCUACACAUCUUCCCCAUUUUUUAACCCAAGGAACCAAAGGAGGCUGCACCCCUCAGAUCCAUCCUCUCGCCUUCCCUAGGGUUCCAGUGACCCUGCUUCGGUGACUACCACAGCCGCCGGCACCACCAUAGCCUUGAGUUGAACCCAAGCCGAAGCCCAGCUUGGGUUGGCCACAAGUUCUCCAGUGCUGUGCUGCUGUGACCCCCAAUAGUCCCACAUUGGAUGUGAAUGAGAUUAUUAUUAGGUAUAUAUGAGACUAUGGACACUAGUAAUAAUAACUGGGCUUAAGCAUUUUGGAGCGGUGGUUUAGGCCCAACGAGUUAUUAUUGCUAAUGGGUCGGGUCAUUACAUUCGGUAUAAGAGCCAAUCACCAGCCAAAAGUGUGAGAUAAGUCUCGGCUGAGCUAGGGUCCGAAUGACCAGGUAAUAGGCUAAGCUAGGGUCAAGAUGACAAGGCUAGCGAGACAAGUCUCACAUCACUUGGUGAUCUUGGACUGUGUGUGUGAUAGGACUGACGAGGACGUCAGGGCCUAAAUGGGGAAAGUAUGUGACACCACAAUAGUCCCACAUCGGAUGUGAAUGGGAUUGUUAUUGGGUAUAUAUGAGACUAUAGACACUAGUAACAAUAAUUGGGCUUAAGCAAUUUGGGCCGAUGGUUUGGGCUCAACAAAUUAUUGUUGCUAGUGGGCCGGAUCAUUACAGCUACUGCCGCCGCCUCUCACCGUCGGCUAGGGCGAGCACCGGGUUCCCCUCGACGCCUGCACCCAAUCCCUGCCGGUGCUCGCGCCACCAUGACUCCGACAAUCGGCCCAAGCCAUCUUGCUCCCAACUAAGCCCACUCUAGAGAAGAUUUGGACUGGUAAUCCUAUUUCGGCCUUCUUAGAGGCUGUUGACUCUCCGGAAGGUGAACACAAUGACCUUGAGGUGCCGUUGAUCAUCGUGCUUACCCUAGUUGCGACCAGAGAGGCUCUAUUCGACGGAAUCACCAGUGUUGCUCCCGGUGCACAUCCAACGCAGAGUUCAAGUAGCCCCGAUGCACUCUUAGGCCAUUAUUCAUGCUCCAAAUAGCGAGCACAGGCUUCGGUACAUCGAGACCUAGCAACUAGUGCCCUCAGUUGAUCUCGGAGUCGCACGGUUUCGAUAACAACCCUAGAACACCAUUUUACAUUAUUAUAACGUGAAUAUUGGAUAGGCAAGGGGCAUUUGGGCAAUUUUGAUAGCAAAGGCUGCUUCGGUCAAUGUGAGGCUACUGAAAGUGAUUCCCGUGGAUUGUUUGUCCAAACCCCGAAGCCCUUCGCGAAUUCGAAAGUUGGUUUCGACGUGCUUUCCAACAAAAUCGCCGGCAGAACAUAGUUAUUGAUGUGGGGUUCACUUUCUAUUGAUGUGAAUGCCUCAGGUUUGUUGCCAAGACUUGUCGACUCGUUACCCGCAUUAUCUCAAGUAUCUGGCGACAACGGAUGAGCGGCAGAUUGUUCCGAUGCCGAAAACAGCAAUUUUGAAGACUUGGAACAACUUUUUUACAUGUUAUUGUAAUUAUACGUUGCUUUGGCAUAUGUUUGCUAUCCAAACACCUAAAUUGGUGUACAUAUCUUAGAACAACGGGUGACUUGCGGUGUACAUUGGUACCUUCCGGGGUUCUACGAUAGGUUCAAAAGUGUUCUGAUAGACUUUCUAAAAAUUUCGGUGGUUCUAGGGUUGUGUGUUUGGUGUUUUGAGUUGACUAGGUAGACCUUGACUUGGUGGGUCUUUUAUAGGUCCAGUCGACAUUCCAACACGCCUAGGGUGUUAGGCACUGUGAUAAGUUUCAGGCAGGUGCUUCGAUCCGAAGUCGGUAUGGUGGUGCUAGCUCGGUGACGUUUUUCCCUUACCCAUUUUUGUUGUUUUCACAUAUUACUUGAUGAUCACUACAUCAUUGGACUUUCAGUUAUAUUUACUCUAUUUCUGCUCUUUCAUGAUUUAGUAGUAGGGUGGUAUUUGAUAGUACUUGUUUGAUCUCUAUCUGUGGGACCUGAUUGGUCGGUGUCUGUGAGUUUGGUGACAUAGGUGAAAUCGUUUGGAUAGGUGUUUGUUGUUGACUUAUUCUCGGCUAUUUGCUGUCUCGUUGACUAUUAAACAUAGUACAUCGAUCAUCACAGCACAUAUAGUAUGACACGUAAAACCAGUAGUUUGGCCACCAUGCAGGUGUUCUUUUUCAGAAAAGUGAUCGUUUGUUCAACCCGUGAGCCCUUUGUGAGGUGCUAGCUGGGGUUAUGUGCCAGUAGGUGAGCACAUGUGCCGGUGGGUGAGCAUAUGUUCUUUUUCUGAAAAGCGGUCGUUUAUUUGACUAUGAGCCCUUUGCGAUGUGCUAGCUGGGGUUAUGUGCCUGUGGGUGAGCAUAUUGUGGCAUUGCCUGUGGUCUUUAAUCAAUAUGACAAGGUGUUUGGAUAUUUGUCUUACAUACAGUUGAUAUAGUACACUAAACUUUAGCAAAUUGCAGGUUUCUAGUGUUAGAUGAGUAACUGGAGUUACUCUGGAUGUUUUGUGAGCUUAUCGGCAUUUAAUUUAAAGGUUUUAAGCGAUAGGAUAAGCUACUGACACUAAAACCUGAAAAAGUUCAGGUUUGGGUGUUGAGUACCGGUACUGCAUUGCGCGGGUACCGGUACACUAUAUAAAAACGCAGUUGCGCAGAGCUCUCAGGUUUUAGCUAUUUUGAGGCCGAGUACCGGUACCCCAGCCCGAGUACCGGUACCCAGUGCGACUGAGUGAGUUGGUAAGGGGCUUUUUGGUAAUUUUACUGUGAUGGUUAUCCUCUUUAAACCCCAGCUCGACCCCAACUACUACUUCUUGUGCUGGAGCUUGAGGGAAAACAGGGUAAGCCCUAUUCUUUCUCUCUCUAAGGUUUAUUUCAUUUUCAAAUGGAAAUUUGUGGAUUUGAGCUUAUUUCCUUCCCUCUCUGAUGCUAGCUGAUUUGGAGAGUUGUGGAGCAGCUGUAGAAAGGUGGAAAGAAGAGUUUUGAUAGUGGUUCUUCAACCCUAACUCAGGGAGUAACUGAGUUGGAGUUUUACAAGGUGAGCAACUCAACUUCUCUCUAGGUUGAUGUAUUAGUAGAGGUAUUGGUGGAGUUUGUUUUGGGAUAGUUCACAGCAGGUUAAUGGAACCCCUUUGGCUGAGUUUUGUGAUCUUUUUAGGUUGGUUUUGGUGUGUUCCAACCUGAGUUGAAGUAAAAAGGAAGCUUGGAUUCUAUACUAGGUAUGAUGUUACUUAGGUUAUGUGAACUUUUGAGGUUCUUAUGUAAUAGUUUGGCUAUUGCUCCUAGCUAAUUUAGUAUGAUUGUAGGGUGCUUGGAGGCUAGAGAGCACCUUCGCUCACGGAAUCAACAAGAGUUGACAUCAAUUCGGUGGGUUUGACCUUACUGAAAUUGGUGAAUUCCCUCUAUGUCUUCUUUGACAUUAUGAAAUUAGAAUUGUUGUAUAUUCAUGUGAAUACAUGUGUGAAUGGAUUGGUGCAUGCAUAAAUAUGCAUAUUAUGUCGGAUAAAAGGAAACCUCCAUAUGGUAGAGGAGGGAUUAUGAAAUUGUAUAGCAUACAUAGAUUACUUGCUCGUUUAGCAUGCAUUACAUAAUAUUAGCAAACUUGUGUAGACAAGUUAGGUAUGACAUCAUUCAAUAGUGAAUGAAUGUAAAGCUAUGAAUAUGACACUUAGUUUAGAUGCACAACUAAGUGAAUGAUGUAUUAUGGUGCUUAACCUUUAAGUUAAAUCAUGCAAUUCCAUGUUGUAGACAUGAUGACAGAGCUUCUAGCAUAUCAUAUAUAGUGGAGUUAUAUGCAUAUAUUUAUAUUGUGAAAUGAAUUGUGUAGAAAUCAUGUGUAGAAUACCUUACAUGAUAUUUUGUUUACUUGUUUAGACAAGUUGGUUAUGGCUUUCACAUGUUAGAACUAGCAUGAACUCGUUCUUGUAUAUAACCUAGUUGAGUAACUAGAACUGGACAUUAUGAUAUAAACUCCGACCUAUGGGUCAUGAGGUGAUAUACUUAUAUGGUCAGAUGGAUGUAAUUGCAUAACAAUUAUAUACUCCAUGUAGUGGCGGUCUAAGUAGAAAUACAUGACAAAUGCCAUGAGCUUGUGUGAAGUAUUGACUAAGACCUUAGUAAACCACUUUCCCUAUGUUAUAGGGACUAGUGAAUGAACUAAAUGUGAGAAUGCGAGUAUAGCCCGUCAGAAUUAUCAAUAUGAUAUAAACUAGUUGUAUGUUAUGACAUAGUAUCUAUUGGUCAACAUAAGUCACCAAGUAGUUGAUACACUACAACAGAAUUAGGUUAUAGGAACACAUGUUUGGGACACUUUUGUGUAAGUGUCUUAUUUAUGACAAAACUUUAAAAAACAUCUACUAAUGCCUAAAUAUAAAGCCUAAUCCAACCAAAAUAAAAGGUUACUCUAUUCAACCCAUCCCACCCAGCCCAUUCGACACGAUUACAAACAGAAAAGGAAAAAAAAAAAAGAAAAAUCGAUUACCAUCUUUCCUUUUCCUCUCACUCAAUCCACGAAAAUUCUAGACAAAGAGUCCUUCCCUCUCCUCCUCCUCCUCCUCCGGCACCGCAACCAACGAGGAAGAGUUUCGACGGUUGCUAAAUGUUUAAAAAGUGUUGGUAAAUUAGCAGCAUUCUUUUUAAAUUAUACCGACACUCUUUAAUUGUUACUAUAUACCUAGCGACCCCACAUAUAGCAACACUUUUUAAAAGUGUCCAUAAUUUAGUCAGCAGCACUUUUUUUGACAUGUAUCGACAUUUAAAAGUGUCGCUAUAUGCCGUUUUUGUUGUAGUGAUAGUAGAAUAUGACUUUAUUGUUAAUUAUCGACCUUGUGUCGAAGUUGAAAUUCCAUGUUAGAGACAUGAUGAACUUUUGAACGUUAUGCUAUGGAUUACGCUUACUUACCAAUGUGCUCAUUCGCACAUACUUGUGAGGGUCGCUCCCCACAAGCCGGCACUCUGGAGUUGGCCUAUGCGACACCAGAUCGCCCGUGCAGGACUAAGCACCGAAGUGGAUUGCCGUGGGUAGUGUUGACUUUCACGGGGCCAUUAGGCACGGCACGAGCCGGGACUUUACCACGUGUAAGUCUCUUGUUAAUUGGGUUAAUGUAAAUAAAUGUAACCCUAGGGGACAUAGUAGUAAAGAUGCUUUAUUUCAUUAGUUGAGAUAUACCUAGUAAUGAACAUACUAAAAGGUUGCAUUCUUGUUAGUCAUUAGUUGCAAUGACAGUACUUGUAUGUUUACACUCCUGUUAGUGUAGGAAGAUAACUAUGUGAUGUCAUUAGCUAGUUAAACCAUAAUGAUGACAUUCUGAAUGAAUCAUGACAUGUAGUUAAAGAUGAUCAACAUGUAAUGAGUAUGAAAUACUAAACUUGUAUAUAUAAUGACUAGUACAUAAGACAUGUUAGAAAACAUAUCUUGUUGAGGCAUGUUCAUAGUUGAUUCAUUUCAUCUACUUGUUGCAUUUAUAUUUUCUACUUGCUGUAGUUUACUCAUGCCUCAGUUGACCUAGUGGUGUACUUCGCCACUCUCGGCAGCUUACCUACUGGAAACUAUUGUUUAAUAGUUCUCACGCCCAUUUGUUGGUUGCUUUUGUGCAAAGCCUUCCGCAGCGGGAAAGACUAGGGUUCCUAGCAAAGGGUCAGCGGCUAGCUAGAGCCUCCUCGAUGUUAAAUAGACAAACCCAUGCAAGCUUAUUCUAGUUUAGCUCAGAGAUAUAUUUUGGGACUAUUUAGAAUGUACUUUGUACUUUACUUCUAAACUAUAAUUUGGUAUUAUUUUAGUAUAAGCUUAUGAACUUUUAGUUUUUGCUCUGAUUACUUGGUUAAGAAGUUAUGCUUUUGCUAUGUUGACUGUAGACGCCUGGUGUACACUAGAGGUGGUGGUGUACACGGCGGGUCUGUGCACGUGGUUGGUGAGCUUUCGCUAAAAUCCAGGACGUGACAGUUAAUGCAUAUGUAUAUUAUUGUUUCUUUACAGUAGCGAUAGAUACUUACCAUUAUUCAUAUCUGUUGUUCUUUACUCACUACUGUACUUGCAUAUCUAUCUCUCUUUUGUAUAUUCUAUUCGCCAGUGAGUACACUCGCCCUUAUCAGCUUGCGGCAUCUAUUGGGAGACCCUAUGUUGGUUUCUCACACCCCUCCUUUUCAGGUGAUCUUGGUGGGGAGAGUCAGGACAUGCGUGGCGUGCAGUAGCUAGUGAGCUUUAGAGGUCCCAACCUUCCGACAUUGGAUACAGUUACUCUUAUUCGUUAAUAAGUUAGACUCUUAGUGGUCCAGUUAACUGCUUUCUUAAUUAUUUGAUCCCAUGAUGGUUUAGUGCUUGUGGAUAAUUAUCUUCUUAGAAAUAAUUGAAUGGUAAAGUUCUUUUGACUAUAUGUGGUUGUGAUGACUUUGUGAUUGUGGAUUUAUGACAAAAUAGUUUUCUACCCUUAGUGGUAGUCGCCUUUUCAAAAGAAUGAGUUUCCGUGUGGAAAACGGUUUUCAAACGACUUUCCGAAUUUAUCGAUACCAUAGUAUUUCAAAAUUAAGUUUUCAGAUGGAAAACACUUUUAAAUGAUAGAAUUGGUUGACGUAUUAUGCAUUCGCAUCAUCCUUUGCUUAAGAACUGCUUAGAACAUGCAUCAUCUUAAGGAUGGCUAGCUGAUUGGUCUAUGUGAGCAUCUGCAUUGUGAAUGCUAAAUUGUAUUAGUGGAUGAAUGUGUUGUGGCAUGUACUUGAAGUGGUACGGCAUGCAAACACAGGGGACACUCUUUCCGUGUGGAUAAGGGAGUUUCUGUAUUUAUGGCGGAUCUGCUCUAUCCUAAGGGCAAGUUUGUUUUUUCAAAAAAAAAUAAUGGGUAUUUUGCGCUGCCUCUACUUUCCAAUUGGCCCGUCCUUCAAAAAGCCUUUACUAAAGAGGGCCCCCAGGGUGUGACAAAAUCUCCAAACUUGAGUUUGCUCCUCCGAUCACCUCUGCCGACGGCGAACUUUGGUCAGUAGGCCAUUCCCCGGGUGCUCUCUGGCCCGUGCUCACCUUUGUGAUAGCCCGAGUCGCUACAAAGAGAGCGCUCUAGGGAACAGCUUAUUCUGAAAGGUUACUCUAUCUUCAUUGUCGGCAGCUGUUGGCACUCAAAUAUGCUGAAAUACUUCACAAAUUGAAUUCACAAUGAUCUAUCUUCGUUAUUUUCGUUAUCGGUAACUGUUUAAAUUUUUCACAAAUUGAAUUCACGAUGCUCAAAUAUUAUCUAAAUAUUUUCAUGGUGAUUCUUACUUAUUUACAGCUUUGGAAUUGAUUAUAUUUGUUUAAACUAGAUUAGAAUAGGUUCUGAAACUAAGUUAUUUUUUUUAAAUAUAAGUCUUUUUUACAUUGAGUACCGUUACUAGUAAUGAGUUCCUCAAAAAUAGAGUUUGAAAACAUAAGUAUUUAUAUUGAGUAUCGGUACCCAAUAUCAGUUCAAAAAACCAAAAAGGUAUCAGUUUUUCUUUUUGAACCGAGUACCAGUACCAAGUUGGAGCAUAGGUACUGAAACUCUCAAUUACUGGUAUUGAAAAUCUUGAGUACCAUUACACAAUACUGAAUUCUGCUCGAUACAUCUUUGAGUACCUGAAUCUAACUUCGUGUACCAGGACACAAUGUGGAGAUUCAUAUUAUGAAUUCUAAUCUAACCUUAAUUGAUUUCAAAGGCCAUAAAAUAUAUAGGUACAAAAGUGUGGCACCUUUUGUUAGGUGACUGCCACUAGUAACCUUUUUGGCGGCCAUGUAUGUUGCCACCAAUAAGAAUCUCUCAUUGAUAUCGACUUUUUUCGCCAUUGAAAAAUGGAUUAGUGGCAACAAAUGUUUGCCGCAUAAGAUUAUUAUUUAGUGGCGAUAAUAUAUUGCCAACAUAGAGACCUUUACAGUGGCGACAAUGUUUGCUACUUAAGGUUGCUAUUUAGUGGCUAUACUUUGUUGCCACCAGAGAGGCAAAUUAUAGUGACAACAAAUGUUCGACGAAUGUUCUUGUGGCAGCUUACGACGACCGUCUUAAUUGUCGGAUUUGAAGAAAAGUGGUGGUGCUUGGAUUUACCACUAUAUAUGGUGCCCUACUGUGAAGUGAUUUGGACCUUUUCUUCAAUAUUUUCAAGUGGUGGUGGGAUUUAUGACUAGAGAAGCAUCUCCAUCACCAUUUGAAAGUAUGAAAAAAAGAAAGCAAGUUAUAAAGUGCUUUGGAUUUUUCUUUUUUUCUUUUUUUCUUUUUUUUGAGACAUAAGUAGCAUGCUAUCCGCUUCGUUUAUUUCAUUUAGAAAUAAAUUUAGCUGAAAAUGUGAAUCAACUAGGAUUCGAACUUGGGACCUCAUGUACAAACCAUCAAACCCUUUGUCACUUGAUUUGUAUUUUUCUGAGCCCUGUAAGCUAAUGAAACCUGGAGCAUGGCUACUGUGUUAUUAGGAGUACAACAGCUCUUAUGCUCGUAAUUUUCUAAUCAUCCAUCAGUUUUGAUAGGUGGUUAGGAUUAGAAAGAGAAGAGAAAUUAUAAAAAAAAAUUCAAAAAGAAGAGAAAUUGAGAUACCCAUGCCAAUUUUUUCUCAAUUUCACUUCUCUCUCUAAUCCUAACCACCGAUCAAAAUUGAUGGAUGACUAGAAAGUUAGAAGCACAAGAGCUGCUGUACUCCUAAUAGCACGGUAGCCCUGCUCAUGAAAUCUGUAUUUCAUCAAUUAAUUAUUUUCAAACUUGUCCUUAAUAAAUAAUGCUGAUCAUUAAAUUUACCCAUUAAAAUAUAUUUCUGCAUGGGAGAGAAAUUAAUUUUACCCAUUAAAAUAUUAGUAGUUUAUAGUUUUCCUUGGGCAAGCUUUGAAAUGAUCUCAUUGGUGACAUCCAAAAGGAUAAAAAUUUGUCCUCUAUUUUAACUUGCAUUUAAAUAUUGAAAAAUAAUAAAAUAAUUCAUGAUAAAAAAAUCACAUAGAUUUUUGAUAUAUUUUUGCUGCGGAAUUAUGUUGCUUCUAUUCGGACCUCUUGUUUCAGAAACUUUCUGAUCCGCUUAAAAUUUAUCUCGAUUUCUAACACGUUUUUCUUCUUAAGAGUUGUUUCUUAAUCAGUUUAGAAGUUUUCUUGAUCUUUAGCACGUUUUUUUUUUUUUUGAGAGUUGUUCUUUCUUGUUAUGAGCUGGCUACCGGAGCCGAUUGCACUAAUGGUGCCUUAGAGUGAACCAAAAAGAGAGAAUUUCUGUCGAUAGAUUAUUUUAAUUUUUUUUUGUAUAUUUUCUAUUAUUCUUUUUUUUUUGUAUAUGUUGUUUGUGGCCAAUUCUUGAUACAUUUAUUGAUCAUUGGGUAGAUAUAUAUUAAUUCUAAUCUUGUUAUAAACCAUAAAGAUAGAGAUUUAAAUAGAAUAAGAUUUAUCUUUUACAUUUAUUUCUUAUCCGAUUAUCCGAUAUAAAUUAAAAAUAUUUUAAAUAAAUCGCAAUAUAGAUGAAUCGUGACACAAUGUUUUUUUUUUUUUGAGAGAUAGAUAGCACGCCACCCGGUUCGUUUAUUUCAUUUAGAAAUAAAUUUAGCUAGAAAUGUGAAUCAACUAGGAUUCGAACUUGAAUCAACUAGAAUCCUAACACAAUGUAUUGAUUUAGUUGACAUAAGUGACGUGUGAUGCCCACAGAGCGGUGUUAAAUAUUCAGUCAUGUUGAAGUCUUAAUAAUCUCCGCAGUUAUAUUAACUCAUCCAGUUUACUUUAUAAGAACAGGCAUAAGUGUGCACAUUACAUAUAUUCUCUUCAAUCUGAAGAUCUUUAUUUUCUUUUUUCAACAAAUUUUUGUCUCGGACGUGAUUCAACAGCUUGACCAAUUAGAGGAGUAUCACACCUUGACCCCCCAACAGGCGGACCGCCGCAAACAGCUCAAGGUUCAACUUUUGGAGAUAGUGGCGGACGAGGAGAUUUUAUGGAAAACACAUGCUAAACAACAUUGGUUAAAAGAAGGAGAUGGUAAUACCAAGUUCUUUCAUGCGUGGGCGAACGGCAGGUGGCGUGAGAAUAUGAUAUGUGAGGUGGAAGACGAAGGUCAGAGUUUGGUUAGAGAGGAGGAAAAAAGAGAGCACUUUUUUUCCAAAUUUAAAGGCGUCUUCGGCUCAAGUGUCGUCGAUUCUGCGUCGGUGGGAGAUUGGAGCUCCCUAUUCAGAGACAAACCUCUACUACACGCAGAACACCUCACUUCCUCUUUUUCUCGGGAAGAGAUUAGGAAUGCCACGUUCCAGUUAGGUAGCGUUAAGUCGCCAGGGCCUGACGGAUUUAACCUAAAGUUCUUUCAGCGAUUCUGGGAAGUCGUUAAAGAUGACCUCUUUGAUAUUUUCCACGACCUCUUCGAAGAAAAGCUUAAUAUGGGACCUAUGGAUUAUUCAUAUAUUUGCCUUAUUCCUAAGAAAGAAAGGGCUAAAUCAGCAGGUGAUUUCAGGCCAAUCAGCCUAAUCAACAGUGUACAGAAGAUCAUUUCCAAAGUUCUAGCAAACAGAUUAGAAGGAGUUAUGAAGGACAUCAUUACUCCGACUCAAUCGGCUUUUCUAAAAGGACGAGUGAUUCUGGAUUCCUUUGCAAUAACCAACGAAAUCAUCAGUUGGUGUUCGCGUCUAGGGGCGGAAAGCGUAGGUAUCAAAGCGGAUUUCGAAAAGGCGUACGAUAGGGUGAGAUGGGACUUUCUGCGACAAGUCAUGUAGUGGUUAGGGACAAAUCAGAAAUGGUGUGGAUGGAUCGACCAAUGUAUUUCUAAUGCUAAGAUAGCUGUUUUAGUUAACGGAGUUCCAACAAAAUGGAUUAAAACAAAGAGAGGCCUGUGACAGGGUGACCCACUCUCACCGUAUCUCUUCUUACUGGUGGCUGAAGGGUUUGCGAGAUUGACAGAUAAAGCGGUAAGGAACGGCCUGUUAAGAGGUGUUGGGCCCACAAGGGACUCUAAAGUAGCCACAUCCAAUACGCGGAUGACACGAUCUUUUUUUGUGAAGCAAAGAAAAAACAAAUUUCAAACCUCCUUUUUCUUUGGCAUUUAUUUGAAUGGGCAUCUGGACUGAAGAUUAAUCGCAACAAGUCCGAAAUCUUCUACCUAGGGGAAGACGACCAGUCAGGCAGGAGACUAGCAGCAAUUUUGGGAUGUAGAGUUGGAUCCUUUCCGAUUAGAUAUCUAGGACUUCCCCUUACGAACGGCCGAUUACGUAGGGAUGAUUGGUGGCCCAUAAUAGAUAAAGUGGCGAAAAAAGUCGAAGGGUGGCAAACGAAACUCCUGUCUCGAGGAGGGAGGUUGGUGCUAGUCAACUCGUCAUUAGCGAAUUUGCCACUUUAAUUUUUUUCGAUCUUUAGGGCACCUAAAUGGGUUACUUACCGGAUAGAAAUUUUAAGGAGGGCGUUUUUUUGGAGGGGAGGUGGAUCGGUAGUAGAAGGUUACUGUUUGGUUCGGUGGAAGGUAAUUUGCAGCAACCGAAAAGAGAGAGGGCUAGGAGUGAUAGAUUUAAACAACAUGAAUUUAGCCCUACUUGCUAAAUGGUGGUGAAGGUUCUUUAAUGAUAGAAACCACUUACGGGGGCCUUUACUAAAAGAUAUCUAUUACAUAAGAAGGAUACCACUUAAAGAGGGUGCGUCCUUUAGACCGCAUUCUGUUUGGUGGAGGAGCGUCUUAAAAGCACGGGAAAGUUUUAAAUGUGGUGCAUCUUACUCUGUUGGCAAUGGGCAAUUGGUUAGAUUGUGGUCGGACAUCUGGAAUGAUCACGCGCCCCUGAGAACUCUAUUCCCCUAAAUCUACGAUAUGGCAGUGAGGAAGAAUCUCAGGGUGGUAGAGUGUUGGGGAAGGAACGGAUGGAACUGGAGUAAGAUACUGUCUGGGAUUUCUCAUUCUGUUCUGCAGGACACAGAUUUAAUGAGGGAAUUUAAAGAGACAUUUUUGGAGUCAGUGACACCAAACAAACAGGAUACGGUAAAGUGGAGAUGGGAUAGGUCGGAAAAGUUCUCGGUCAAGUCGAUGUACAUCUUCCUACAGGACAAUGGGGUUCGAAAUAGGAGCUCUUAUCACAUAUGGAAGGUUCGAGCCCCCCUAAAAGUAAAAAUCUUUGUUUGGCUGCUCUUGAAGAGAAAGGUACCUACUAGAGAUAUUCUAUUAAAAAGGGGAUGGAGUGGAGAGGAAAAGUGUAAUACCCGUAUCUAAUUAAUUUAAAUUAGAAUUUAAAUAUGUGGCCAUGAUUGUAGUUGGCCUUUUUGCAUAAAAAAUCCACUUAUUUUGGGCUUUUGCAAAAUCGGGUCACUUUUUUCGUUUUUGCAGAUUCGGUCCGUUUUUUCAGUAAACUGACCAAAAUACCCUUAUUACUUUUUCUCUUUCCUCUUUCUCUCUCCUCUUCGUUUCUUCCGUUAUUUUUUUUUUUUCGUUCUUUUUUCGAGCCCGCCGCCGAGCCCCUCCUCCNCCCUGUUUUAUGGUUUACUUUUCAGAGCCUUCGGCACCGGCGGAGGCACGGGAUCGCGGCAAGGGGAUCGUUUAGCUAGCUAGCGAGGAGCGGUACUUUGCCUAGGUGGUUUACUCUUUCUUUUUGUAGUUGAGAGAGUGAGAGGUUUUGUCUCCAAGUAUAGAGACCAC